CAUGCAAGUCGAACGAUGAACNAGGAGCUUGCUCCUGGGNUUAGUGGCGAACGGGUGAGUAACACGUGAGUAACCUGCCCUUGACUCUGGGAUAAGCGUUGGAAACGACGUCUAAUACCGGAUAUGAGCUGCGGCCGCAUGGUCUGCAGUUGGAAAGAAUUUUGGUCAAGGAUGGACUCGCGGCCUAUCAGGUAGUUGGUGAGGUAAUGGCUCACCAAGCCUACGACGGGUAGCCGGCCUGAGAGGGUGACCGGCCACACUGGGACUGAGACACGGCCCAGACUCCUACGGGAGGCAGCAGUGGGGAAUAUUGCACAAUGGGCGCAAGCCUGAUGCAGCAACGCCGCGUGAGGGACGACGGCCUUCGGGUUGUAAACCUCUUUUAGUAGGGAAGAAGCGAAAGUGACGGGUACCUGCAGAAAAAGCACCGGCUAACUACGUGCCAGCAGCCGCGGUAAUACGUAGGGUGCAAGCGUUGUCCGGAAUUAUUGGGCGUAAAGAGCUCGUAGGCGGUUUGUCGCGUCUGCUGUGAAAUCUGGGGGCUCAACCCCCAGCCUGCAGUGGGUACGGGCAGACUAGAGUGCGGUAGGGGAGAUUGGAAUUCCUGGUGUAGCGGUGGAAUGCGCAGAUAUCAGGAGGAACACCGAUGGCGAAGGCAGAUCUCUGGGCCGUAACUGACGCUGAGGAGCGAAAGCAUGGGGAGCGAACAGGAUUAGAUACCCUGGUAGUCCAUGCCGUAAACGUUGGGAACUAGAUGUAGGGGCCAUUCCACGGUUUCUGUGUCGCAGCUAACGCAUUAAGUUCCCCGCCUGNGGGAGUACGGCCGCAAGGCUAAAACUCAAAGGAAUUGACGGGGGCCCGCACAAGCGGCGGAGCAUGCGGAUUAAUUCGAUGCAACGCGAAGAACCUUACCAAGGCUUGACAUAUACCGGAAACGUCCAGAGAUGGUCGCCCCGCAAGGUCGGUAUACAGGUGGUGCAUGGUUGUCGUCAGCUCGUGUCGUGAGAUGUUGGGUUAAGUCCCGCAACGAGCGCAACCCUCGUUCUAUGUUGCCAGCACGUUAUGGUGGGAACUCAUAGGAGACUGCCGGGGUCAACUCGGAGGAAGGUGGGGAUGACGUCAAAUCAUCAUGCCCCUUAUGUCUUGGGCUUCACGCAUGCUACAAUGGCCGAUACAAAGGGCUGCAAUACCGCGAGGUGGAGCGAAUCCCAAAAAGUCGGUCUCAGUUCGGAUUGAGGUCUGCAACUCGACCUCAUGAAGUCGGAGUCGCUAGUAAUCGCAGAUCAGCAACGCUGCGGUGAAUACGUUCCCGGGCCUUGUACACACCGCCCGUCAAGUCAUGAAAGUCGGUAACACCCGAAGCCGGUGGCCCAACCCUUGUGGAGGGAGCNGUNNCNAAGGUGGGAUCGNNGAUUNNGANUAAGUCGUAACAAGGUAACC
rnacentral:rRNA from 1 species